AACGAACGCUGGCGGCAUGCCUAACACAUGCAAGUCGAACGAGACCUUCGGGUCUAGUGGCGCACGGGUGCGUAACGCGUGGGAACCUGCCCUUAGGUUCGGAAUAACUCCCCGAAAGGGGUGCUAAUACCGGAUAAUGUCUUCGGACCAAAGAUUUAUCGCCUUUGGAUGGGCCCGCGUUGGAUUAGCUAGUUGGUAGGGUAAAAGCCUACCAAGGCGACGAUCCAUAGCUGGUCUGAGAGGAUGAUCAGCCACACUGGGACUGAGACACGGCCCAGACUCCUACGGGAGGGAGCAGUGGGGAAUAUUGGACAAUGGGCGAAAGCCUGAUCCAGCAAUGCCGCGGGAGUGAUGAAGGCCUUAGGGUUGUAAAGCUCUUUUACCCGGGAUGAUAAUGACGGUACCGGGAGAAUAAGCACCGGCUAACUCCGUG
rnacentral:rRNA from 1 species